rnacentral:tRNA from 1 species
GCUGACGUAGCUCAAGGGAGCACUGGGGUGGUGACCCCAGAAGUGGAGUUCGAAUCUCCAAGUCAGUGCCA